CCUACGGGCGGCAGCAGUGGGGGAUAUUGCACAAUGGGGGAAACCCUGAUGCAGCGACGCCGCGUGGGUGAAGAAGUAUUUCGGUAUGUAAAGCCCUAUCAGCAGGGAAGAAAGAAGACGGUACCUGACUAAGAAGCCCCGGCUAACUACGUGCCAGCAGCCGCGGUAAUACGUAGGGGGCGAGCGUUAUCCGGAUUCACUGGGUGUAAAGGGAGCGUAGACGGCCGUGCAAGCCAGGAGUGAAAGCCCGGGGCCCAACCCCGGGACUGCUCUUGGAACUGUGCGGCUGGAGUGCGGGAGGGGCAGGCGGAAUGCCUGGUGUAGCGGUGAAAUGCGUAGAUAUCAGGAGGAACACCGGCGGCGAAGGCGGCCUGCUGGACCGCGACUGACGUUGAGGCUCGAAAGCGUGGGGAGCGAACAGGAUUAGAUACCCCUGUAGUC
rnacentral:rRNA from 1 species